rnacentral:rRNA from 1 species
UACGUAGGGUGCGAGCGUUAAUCGGAAUUACUGGGCGUAAAGCGUGCGCAGGCGGCGAUGUAAGUCCGAUGUGAAAUCCCCGGGCUUAACCUGGGAACUGCAUUGGUGACUGCAUUGCUGGAGUAUGGCAGAGGGGGGUGGAAUUCCACGUGUAGCAGUGAAAUGCGUAGAGAUGUGGAGGAACACCGAUGGCGAAGGCAGCCCCCUGGGCCAAUACUGACGCUCAUGCACGAAAGCGUGGGGAGCAAACAGG